GAUGAACGCUGGCGGCGUGCCUAAUACAUGCAAGUCGAGCGAACAGACGAGGAGCUUGCUCCUCUGACGUUAGCGGCGGACGGGUGAGUAACACGUGGGUAACCUACCUAUAAGCCUGGGAUAACUUCGGGAAACCGGAGCUAAUACCGGAUAAUAUAUUUAACCGCAUGGUUUAAUAGUGAAAGACGGUUUUGCUGUCACUUAUAGAUGUAUCCGGGCCGCAUUAGCUAGUUGGUAAGGUAACGGCUUACCAAGGCAACGAUGCGUAGCCGACCUGGGAGGGUGAUCGGCCACACUGGAACUGGGACACGGUCAAGACUCCUCCGGGGGGCAGCGUAAGGGAAUCUCCCGCAAUGGGCGAAAGCUGGACGGAGCAACGCCGCUGGAGUGAUGAAGGUCUUCGGAUCGUAAAACCUGUUUAUUAGGGAAGAACAAAUGUGUAAGUAACUAUGCACGUCUUGACGGUACCUAAUCAGAAAGCCACGGCUAACUACGUG
rnacentral:rRNA from 1 species